rnacentral:rRNA from 1 species
UACGUACUGUGCGAACGUUAUUCGGAAUCACUGGGCUUAAAGGGUGUGUAGGCGGCUAGCUAAGUAGGGUGUGAAAGGCCUCGGCCUAACCGAGGCACUGCGCUCUAAACUGACUGGCUUGAGUAAGAUAGGGGUGUGCGGAACUUCCAGUGGAGCGGUGAAAUGUGUUGAUAUUGGAAGGAACGCCGGUGGCGAAAGCGGCACACUGGGUCUUAACUGACGCUGAGACACGAAAGCCAGGGGAGCGAACGG